GAUGAACGCUGGCGGCGUGCCUAAUACAUGCAAGUCGAGCGAACAGAUGAGGAGCUUGCUCCUCUGACGUUAGCGGCGGACGGGUGAGUAACACGUGGAUAACCUACCUAUAAGACUGGGAUAACUUCGGGAAACCGGAGCUAAUACCGGAUAAUAUAUUGAACCGCAUGGUUCAAUAGUGAAAGACGGUUUUGCUGUCACUUAUAGAUGGAUCCGCGCCGCAUUAGCUAGUUGGUAAGGUAACGGCUUACCAAGGCAACGAUGCGUAGCCGACCUGAGAGGGUGAUCGGCCACACUGGAACUGAGACACGGUCCAGACUCCUACGGGAGGCAGCAGUAGGGAAUCUUCCGCAAUGGGCGAAAGCCUGAAGGAGCAACGCCGCGUGAGUGAUGAAGGUCUUCGGAUCGUAAAACUCUGUUAUUAGGGAAGAACAAAUGUGUAAGUAACUAUGCACGUCUUGACGGUACCUAAUCAGAAAGCCACGGCUAACUACGUG
rnacentral:rRNA from 1 species